rnacentral:misc_RNA from 1 species
CGCACAUUGCGCCCUUUGGUAUUCCUUAGGGCAUGCCUGUUCGAGCGUCAUUUCACCCCUCAAGCUCUGCUUGGUGUUGGGCGCCUGUCCCCGCUUCCGCGUGUGGGACUCGCCUAAAAUUGAUUGGCGGCCGGUACGGUUUGGGCUUCGAGCGCAGCAGACUCGCGUCUUGUGCCCGGCGGACCGGCUCUCCAGCAAGCGUAUUUUUCAUACCUUUUGACCUCGGAUCAGGUAGGGAUACCCGCUGAACUUAA